rnacentral:rRNA from 1 species
UACGUAGGGAGCAAGCGUUGUCCGGAAUCAUUGGGCGUAAAGAGCGCGUAGGCGGUCCGAUAAGUCGGCUGUGAAAGUCAGGGGCUCAACCCUUGGAAGCCGGCCGAUACUGUCGGACUAGAGUCCGGAAGAGGCGAGUGGAAUUCCCGGUGUAGCGGUGAAAUGCGCAGAUAUCGGGAGGAACACCAAUGGCGAAGGCAGCUCGCUGGGACGGUACUGACGCUGAGACGCGAAAGCGUGGGGAGCAAACAGG